rnacentral:rRNA from 1 species
UAGAGUUUGAUCCUGGCUCAGGACGAACGCUGGCGGCGUGCUUAACACAUGCAAGUCGAGCGGUAAGGCUCCUUCGGGAGUACACGAGCGGCGAACGGGUGAGUAACACGUGAGCAAUCUGCCCUUCACUUCGGGAUAACUCCGGGAAACCGGUGCUAAUACCGAAUACGACCACUUCAGGCAUCUGAUGGUGGUGGAAAGUUCCGGCGGUGAAGGAUGAGCUCGCGGCCUAUCAGCUUGUUGGUGAGGUAAUGGCCCACCAAGGCAACGACGGGUAGCCGGCCUGAGAGGGUGACCGGCCACACUGGGACUGAGACACGGCCCAGACUCCUACGGGAGGCAGCAGUGGGGAAUAUUGGACAAUGGGCGAAAGCCUGAUCCAGCAACGCCGCGUGAGGGAUGACGGCCUUCGGGUUGUAAACCUCUUUCAGCGGGGACGAAGCGCAAGUGACGGUACCUGCAGAAGAAGCGCCGGCUAACUACGUGCCAGCAGCCGCGGUAAUACGUAGGGCGCGAGCGUUGUCCGGAAUUAUUGGGCGUAAAGAGCUUGUAGGCGGUUUGUUGCGUCUGCUGUGAAAGACCGGGGCUUAACCCCGGUAUUGCAGUGGGUACGGGCAGACUAGAGUGCAGUAGGGGGAGACUGGAAUUCCUGGUGUAGCGGUGAAAUGCGCAGAUAUCAGGAGGAACCACCGAUGGCGAAGGCAGGUCUCUGGGCUGUAACUGACGCUGAGAAGCGAAAGCAUGGGGAGCGAACAGGAUUAGAUACCCUGGUAGUCCAUGCCGUAAACGUUGGGCACUAGGUGUGGGGGACAUUCCACGUUUUCCGCGCCGUAGCUAACGCAUUAAGUGCCCCGCCUGGGGAGUACGGCCGCAAGGCUAAAACUCAAAGGAAUUGACGGG